rnacentral:rRNA from 1 species
CAAUAGCGUAUAUUAAAGUUGUUGCGGUUAAAAAGCUCGUAGUUGGAUUUCUGUUGAGGUCGGCCGGUCCCUACUUCGUAGGCGUAUCUGGUUCAGCCUUGGCAUCCCCCUAGGGAACGGCACUGCUCUUAACUGAGUGGUCCGGUAUCUAGGACUUUUACUUUGAGGAAAUUAGAGUGUUUACGGCAGGCAAUCGCCUUGAAUAUGUUAGCAUGGAAUAAUAAUAUAGGACCUUGGUUCUAUUUUGUUGGUUUCUAGGACUAAGGUAAUGAUUAAUAGGGAUAUUUGGGGGCAUUCGUAUUAACCUGUCAGAGUGGAAUUCUUGGAUUCGGUUACGACGAACUACUGCGAAAGCAUUUGCCAAGGAUGUUUUCAUUGA